rnacentral:tRNA from 1 species
GGCUCUUUAGCUCAAGCGGCAGAGCUCCGGCGUGAAAUUCCGGGGAUCAGGGUUCAAGUCCCUGGGGAGCCA